rnacentral:rRNA from 1 species
CAGCAGCCACGGUAAUACGUAGGGGGCGAGCGUUGUCCGAAGUUACUGGGCGUAAAGAGCGCGUAGGCUGGUCUUUAAGUGAGUGGUGAAAGGUUCGGGCUCAACCCGGACACUGCCUUUCAUACUGGGGACCUUGAGUGUGGGAGAGGCGAGUGGAAUGGUCGGUGUAGCGGUGAAAUGCGUAGAUAUCGAUCGGAACACCCAUGGCGAAGGCAGCUCGCUGGCCUAACACUGACGCUGAGGCGCGAAAGCGUGGGGAGCAAACAGGAUUAGAUACCCGCGUAGUCCCUGUCUCUUAUAA